CUGUUCCAGACCCAAUACAGACAAAAUGUCCAGCAGGGGUGGAAAGAAGAAGUCAACCAAGACUUCCCGUUCCGCAAAGGCUGGGGUCAUAUUCCCUGUUGGAAGAAUGCUACGUUACAUUAAGAAAGGCCACCCGAAGUACAGAAUUGGUGUUGGUGCUCCAGUGUACAUGGCUGCUGUACUGGAAUAUCUGACUGCGGAAAUUCUUGAAUUGGCUGGAAAUGCAGCAAGGGACAACAAGAAGGGUCGAGUCACUCCUAGACACAUCCUGUUGGCUGUAGCAAACGAUGAAGAAUUAAAUCAGCUAUUGAAAGGAGUCACCAUAGCCAGUGGUGGAGUGUUACCCAAUAUUCACCCAGAGCUGUUGGCAAAGAAGCGGGGAUCAAAAGGAAAACUGGAAGCCAUCAUCACUCCACCUCCAGCAAAGAAGGCAAAGUCUCCAUCACAGAAAAAAACGGUAUCAAAGAAAACAGGUGGCAAGAAAGGAGCAAGGAAAUCCAAGAAGAAGCAGGGAGAAGUGAGCAAAUCAGCCAGUGCUGACAGUACAACAGAGGGAACUCCUGCAGAUGGUUUCACGGUCCUGUCCACCAAAAGUCUGUUUCUUGGCCAGAAGCUGAACCUUAUUCACAGUGAAAUCAGUAAUUUAGCCGGCUUCGAGGUGGAGGCCAUUAUCAAUCCUACCAAUGCUGACAUUGACCUUAAAGAUGACCUAGUUGCAAGUUGUACAGGCUGACAUUGCCACGAUCGACAGUGAUGCUGUCGUUCACCCGACAAACUCUGACUUCUACACCGGUGGUGAAGUAGGGAGCACUUUGGAAAAGAAAGGCGGCAAGGAGUUUGUGGAAGCUGUCAUUGAGCUUCGCAAAAAGAACGGGCCGUUGGACAUAGCUGGAGCUGUUGUCAGUGCUGGCCAUGGAUUGCCUGCGAAAUUUGUGAUCCACUGUAAUAGCCCAGGUUGGGGCUCAGACAAAUGUGAGGAGCUGCUGGAAAAGACAGUGAAGAACUGCUUGGCUCUGGCUGAUGAAAAGAAGCUGAAAUCAAUUGCGUUUCCUUCAAUUGGCAGCGGCAGAAAUGGCUUCCCAAAGCAAACGGCUGCUCAGCUGAUCCUGAAAGCCAUCUCCAGCUAUUUUGUGUCAACAAUGUCCUCUUCAAUCAAGACAGUGUACUUCGUGCUCUUCGACAGCGAGAGUAUAGGGAUAUACGUGCAGGAAAUGGCCAAACUAGAUGCCAACUAAGCCUAGAAAGCAACAGUACCAGCCCCCCCUUCUACCCAUCGUCCUCAACUCAUUGUGAAGCAGAGCAUCCCUUAUUUUAAAUUUUGCUCAUCUAGGGGAAUAAAGGUGGAUUUUUUUUCUGUUGAUUUUUGUUUUGUUUUGAGUUUGUUUUGUUUUGUUUUUACUUUCUAAAAUGUUUUAUGUUGGCACUGAUAGUUGGCAUUACUGCUGUUAAUGCACUGUAUACCAGGCAUCGUCUGAACUUAGUGUAAUCUAGGAGAUUUUAUAGUUUUAUUUUAAUGAAGUAUGGAUUAAAGCAGAAAGCUGGUAGGAGUAUGUAGUCUUUUACUUGUGAAAGAAACGGGCCGACCCUAUUUUGUAACUGUGUUGUGGUGCUUUAUCAAUACAUGGAGUGGCGUUCCUUUCAUUUUUUAAAAGAACAGAUGCUAUAAACCUAAUUUGUGUUUGUUUAUUGUCUUAAUGAUAAAUCUGGAAGAAAAAAAAUACAGAAACCCUGUUGUCCUUAAUUAUAUUUACAAUUUUGAAAUUGUGUGAAUUGAUUUAGUAAAAUGUUUGAACUGUU